AAUGAACGUUGGCGGCGUGGAUUAGGCAUGCAAGUCGCGCGAUUUCCUUCGGGGAAGAGCGGCGGAAGGGAGAGUAACGCGUAGAUACCUACCCUCGGGACCGGAAUAGCGACGGGAAACUGUCGGUAAUGCCGGAUAACGUCCCUGGACCAAAGGUGUGAAUCCGCCUGAGGAGGGGUCUGCGUCCUAUUAGCUAGUCGGCGGGGUAACGGCCCACCGAGGCGAAGAUGGGUACCGGGCGUGAGAGCGUGACCCGGCUCACUGGGACUGAGACACUGCCCAGACACCUACGGGUGGCUGCAGUCGAGAAUCUUCGGAAAUGAGCGCAAGCUUGACCGAGCGACGCCGCGUGCGGGAUGAAGGCUUUCGGGUUGUAAACCGCUGUCAGUGGGGAGGAAAUUCUUGGGGGAACUCCCCCUUGAUUGACCGAUCCGCAGAGGAAGGACGGGCUAAGUUCGUGCCAGCAGCCGCCGUAACAC
rnacentral:rRNA from 1 species